AGAGUUUGAUUAUGGCUCAGGAUGAACGCUGGCGGCGUGCUUAAUACAUGCAAGUCGAACGAAGAUAUUUCGCUGAUGCGAUUCGUCAAAUCUUGAAAUAUCUUAGUGGCGGACGGGUGAGUAACGCGUGGGUAACCUGCCUUACACAGGGGGAUAACAGUUAGAAAUGACUGCUAAUACCGCAUAAGCGCACGAGAUCGCAUGAUCAUGUGUGAAAAGAUUUAUCGGUGUAAGAUGGACCCGCGUCUGAUUAGAUAGUUGGUGAGGUAACGGCCCACCAAGUCAACGAUCAGUAGCCGGCCUGAGAGGGUGAACGGCCACAUUGGGACUGAGACACGGCCCAAACUCC
rnacentral:rRNA from 1 species